rnacentral:rRNA from 1 species
CACGGAGUUAGCCGGUGCUUAUUCAUUUGGUACCUUCAGCUCUCAACACGUCGAGAGGUUUAUUCCCAAAUAAAAGCAGUUUACAACCCAUAGGGCAUUCUUCCUGCACGCGGCAUGGCUGGUUCAGACUUGCGUCCAUUGACCAAUAUUCCUCACUGCUGCCUCCCGUAGGAGUCUGGUCCGUGUCUCAGUACCAGUGUGGGGGACCAUCCUCUCAGAACCCCUACCUAUCGUCGCCAUGGUGAGCCGUUACCUCACCAUCUAGCUAAUAGGACGCAUGCCCAUCCUGUUCCGUAUCCUUUAAUUAUCAAAUGAUGCCAUCUAAUAAUACCAUGGGGUCUUAAUCCGGAUUUCUCCGGGCUAUCCCCCAGAACAGGGUAGGUUGUAUACGCGUUACUCACCCGUGCGCCGGUCGCCACCAAGUAAACAAGUUUACUUAUGCUGCCCCUCGACUUGCAUGUGUUAGGCCUGCCGCUAGCGUUCAUCCUGAGCCAGGAUCAAA